rnacentral:lncRNA from 1 species
GCUCCCGGGCGGCGGUGGCACCACGUAGCCGCCUCCUUCCACCGCUCGCUUUAUCCCCGCCCCUUCUCGGGCCAACCCCAAGCGCCGCUGACCCCGAACGUCGCUGCGGGGUAGGUAGGGGGUGGGAGGGUGGAGGACCGCAGGCGAGAGGGAGAAGGAAGGGCGCCCGGGGAGCAGGCUGGCAGAGUGACCGGGAUUGAUGAGCGGCGCAGCUCUGGAGGGACGCGGGCGAGAGGGUCGCUCCUCGGGGAGAGGGCUGGGUGAGUGAGGACCUGCGAGCCACCCCCGACACCCCUUCCAGGGUAGCCACACUGGCGCCCCCUCCUCCACAACAGGCUUAUGUGGCUAGAGAAGAUGCGAUGCCACUGGACAGGGAAGGAAAGUCGUCGUGGACUUCGCUGAAUGGAAAAGGGGGUAGUUGGGGAAGGUGGAGAAAAGAGCCACGGGAAGUGGGAGGAAAGGAUGAAGGGAUGGGACGUUGAAAAGGAAAGCUUCCUGAAUCCCUGUGUGACUCUAACCCAACCUCCCCACCUACCGGAGAAAUGGGUUUUAUCCUAGAAAUGGGGACGAGGAAAAAGAGAUGGCUCAAGGGAGUCCUGGCCCGGGAUGCGAUCCUCGCCCUAGGGUCUAUUGCAACCACACAAACCCGGACAGCGCACGCUCCCCCCUACCCCGACAGAAUAGUGCCUAAGAAACCUGCUUGCCUCCUAACUCUAGGAAGGAAUCCACAACGGAUUCCAGGGAGGUCUUCUGGGGAAUCUGAAUUGGGUUUUUGGAUCACGAACCAUUAAGCUUUUGAACUCUGGGGAAGAAUAGAACAGGUGGCUGGAAAUUGUUUUAGAACCCUACCUGAGCAGGUGUGCUCAUUAGUUGCUUAUCCGCCCUCCUCCUGGAGCACUUUCAUAGGUGUUGGCAAAGCAGGUACCAGUAUUUCACGGAAGGAGAAGGAAGAACCGCCCAGGACUGUGUAUAAAUGUCUAUGGGAAUAUUUUUAAGGAUUCAAAAGGCUAGAAGGAGGUGAGAUCAAAAAAUUUUUCCAGCACCACCCAGUGCAACCCGAUCCUGGACACAGAAAUCUAAAAGAUGAUACUUAAAUACUUGAGUUUGAGAGCCUCUAGUUAUAAGGUUUCCUACGUAACAACCUCUCACUUUUCUCAAAAACUGGCUAGUUGACAACCGGCAGUCAAGUUUUGGCUAGUCAAGAAGCUACUUUUUCCUGCAAUAAACCACAUUUAGAGAUAGUACUGGGCUUCAGCAGGAUUGAGGCUAUAUUGAGGUCGCAAGUAUGAACGAGGUACCCACAGAGAUGGGAGGGCCAGGAGAUCCUACUCAUUCAGUACCUCAGAAGCUAUGACACGGGAUAACAGUAGCUUCAGCCCUUUGGAUGAAAUAAUCCUCACUCCCUCAAAAGUGCUCUCUACCCACUCAAAACACAGGCCAUACUACCACCAAUCUGGUAGACUUCAAAAGUAAGGUCUUUCAGCAGCAGAUUUCCUUGUUAACAGGAAGGUACUGACAAGCUUUACCUAAGCCUAUUGGAGCUAUGUUGUAAUUCUGUAUAUAAAUAGAACAGUCGCUGCAGGAAUACUGGAUGAGUCAGAAGAAAGGUCUGUCCUAAGCUGAUGUGACACAUUUCAAAAGGACCAGAAAUUAGAUGCAAUUGAUGACUGAGUUGAUCUCUAAGUGGAUUUAUCUUUGAAAUAAAAAUCAGUGGAUAUCCCAUAUACCCGACCCCACACCCUCCCCCAUUGUCAACAUCCCCAACCAAAGUAGCACAUUUGCUACAAAUAGUGAACCUACAUUGCCAGAUCAUUAUCACCCAAAGUCCAUAGUUUACAUUAGGGUUCACUCUUGGGGCUGUAUAUUCUAUAGGGUUGGACAAAUAUAGAAUAACAUGAACCCACCCUCAUAGUAUCAUAGUAUCAUACAGAGUAUUUUCACUGCCCUAAAAGUCCUCUGUACACCACCUAUUUAUCCCUUCCUCCCCCCAGUCUCUGGCAGCCACUGAAGUUUGACUGUAUCCCUGUCUCCUUAGUUUUGCCUUUUCCGGAAUGCCAUAUAUAAGGAAUCAUACAGUAUGCAGUCUUUCUUUCAAUUUUGCUGUGAAACUAAAACUGCUAAGAAAAUAAAGUCUUAAAAAGAAAAAUCAAUGGAGAAGGGAAAGGUAAGAUAACUAAUCAGUAAUUUGGAGGGGGGGGUGGAAAAACUAAUUGAAUUAUCUCAUUUCGUAUAUCCAAAAUAAGUUCUAUGAGGAUUAAGGAGUUAAAUAUAUUUUAAAGCAGACCAGAAGGAAAAAUAUUUGUCAAACCUCUGUAUAGAAGUAUUUCUCAACUUAGAGGCAAUAGAAGGAAAUAAUCAAUGGAUAUGAUUGGGUAAUAUCUUAAACACUUCUACGUGUCCAGCUUUUUUUAGUGUAAGCUAAACCAGAAAAAAAAUUGGCAGCAAACAUGAAAAAUAAAAACCUGAAUGUCUAUAUUAUAAGUAGGGCUCAUAGAGCUAUAGUAAAAUAUAGAAUCGCAGUGGUUGAGUAUAAACAGAAAAUAAAUCAUAUAAGAAAUAAAAUAUAUGGGGAAAUUAAUCUAGUAAUAAAUGAAGUAUACAUUAAAACUAAUAAAGAUACAAAAAUAAUGAGCACUGGUUAGCACAUACAUUGUUGGUGUCCUUAUGAAAUAAUAUGUCCAUUUGGAAAGCAUUUUGGCUGUAUAUAUCAGGUCAGAGUGCUCCUACAUUUUGACUCAGCAGUCCCUCUUCUGGGAAUCUACCCAAAGAAAUACCCCAGCAGAUGGAAAAAGUUAUACACUGCAAGAUGUAUAUCAUAGCAUUAUUUAUAUUGAAGACUUGGCCAGAAAUUAAAGAUCAAAGAGUAGGGGUGAUAUCCAAUUCCUUGUAGUUACUUGGACCACAAUGUUCCUUCACAUUCUGUGCCUCUGCACAUGUCAUUUAGAGUUUCUGCCUGGGGCAUUCUCCUUGUCUCUUGUCUGUGAGCUGAUUUCUCUUAUUCUUCACUACUUUUGUUCAAUGUCUCGGAGGCUCCUUCUUUAUUCCCUCAACACCCGCUGUGUUCUUCCAUCCCGGCACUUAAAGGCUGCCUGUAAGAACUUGUUUACCUACCUGUCUCCUCAAUCUGCUGUGACUCCUUCUAGGGUGUGACCUAACCCUUGGUAAUCUUAGAAUCACCAGAGCUCUGCAGAUAUGGCAGGUGCUUGAUAAAUAUUUAUUAAAGGAAUGAAUGAGUCAUUUGCUCACAGUUUUUACAGCUCUUGAAGAUACUGCUUAUAGAGUAUGUGGCAAUAUAUGGAUACAUUAUAAUGUUAAAUUUUAAAGGCACUAUAUAUGGAAUUAUCUCCAAGUAAUAUUGUUAAAUUUUAAAAACAAGGAACAAAAACAGUGUACACAGUAGGCUAUCAUUUUGUGAAAAGAUAAGCUCUGUUGGCAAAAGAAUAUCCAUACACAUAUUUCCUUGUUAAUGGGUAGGCUAUCUAUGGAAGAAAACGAAAUAAACUGGUAACAGCGAGUUAGGGUGGAAUGGGGGGCAAACUGGGGGACUAAAGAUACUGAUAGGAAGGAGACAUGUUUUAUUUUUAAAUAACCCCUUUAGUCUGUUUUUGAAAUUUGUACCAUGUAUAUGAUACACGUUUUGAAAAAUAAAGCAGUCUACAAAACGGUAUGCAGUUGUAUGAAAAAAAGUUAGGAGUUAAUUUUUGCCAAAUAAGAACAGUUAUAAGGCUGGGUGAUUUUGUUUUCAUGUUUCUGGUUUGCAAUUUUUAAGUGUGGUUAAAUUGCUUUUACAAUUAAGAAGAUAAAAUUAUACAUAAAGAUGUAAGAAAGUAACUAAGUAAUCAUAUUUAUUUCACGCAACUCCUUCACAACUCAAUAAAUGCUGAUCUAUUUUAAGGAGAAAAGGAGAAAAAUUUUCUGUCUGAAUACUGCUAAGGCCACCUCCCUUAUAACUCUGAGGUUGAAAAAUGGUUAAUAAGUUUAACUACUGACAAGUUAAUCAGCUCUUCAAGUGGCAGUGAAAACAGGUAAAGCGUGUUCUUCUAAUAGUUGCCUGGCUGAGGAGCAAGAUAUGACAACAGCGUUUUAACCUAAGACACCAAACUUAACGAGCUUGUCUGUCUCCACCUGUGCUUUAUUGUUCCUGCCCACCUUCCUGCCUCCCUCCUCUUGGGCUCUGUCAUUGUCUGCCUCUCUGCUCCUCUCUGUUUUUCUUUUGCUUCUCUGUAGCCGCCCUGCUGGUUGCCUCCACACCCCUCCUGCCGCCUUCCUCUCAGAACCCUAGCAGCUGUGUUCAGCGUCCCCCUCUUAAAGCAGCCACAUGCUCUGGGAAGACUGGCCCUCUGCGUCACAUCUGGCAGUCCCAUUCCUCUUGCUAAUGUGUGGUUCAGGAAUGGGCAGGUGGCCCAAUUCUGGUCAACAAGCCAUGAGAAGAAUCUGCUAGAGGUUUCCUUGCAUCUAAGAAAUGGUCUCUUUCGCCCUUGGACUUGGUUGGGUUUGGAUGUGAUGCCUCGAUCCUCUACAGCCUGAUGACAAAGACCACACCAAGGAUGGCAGAGUGGAAGGAUAAAAAGAACCAGGGCCUUCCAGCCUUUGUUGUAUGGCUGACUUAACCAACCUUGAAGGUGGCCUUACUCACGACUUCCUGUCAGAUGAGACAAAUUUCUUGGUUAAGAUACUUUGACAGGGGUUUUCCGUUUCAUACAACUGAAAGUAUCCUGACUUAAACACCUUUUGAGGUUCUGCCCCAAGCCUUUAUUGAUUUUCUCCUCUUGAAUCACCACCAGCAUUUCUGCAUUUCUCUUAGUACCACGUUUUUUCUAUUCCCCACACCCACCACCCCCUCUCUUCCCUAGCUGUUUCUGUCUCAAACAAUACAGGGAAACAUUUUAGGGUGUCUGACAGAUCACACCCACCCCUUUCUCAGACCUUCUCAACCACAAGGUGCUCUCCCACCUCCAGCGAGGUUUGUACUUCACAGUUGAUGGGGUCCCGGUAGAUUCAGGCUGGGCCAACCUGAGAGUCUGUCUCAGUAACAAAGGGAACCCUGCGCCCAGCUGAAGUGCAGGCAAUGUUUACCCGAAAGCUGGGGGUGGGUCCGCAUUUCCAGGAGGAAGCCAAGACUCUCCCUCAUCCUCUGCAGAAAGAGGAAGGAAGCCUAAACAGAGAAAAACAGUAGCAGAGUCUGACAGCCUGGGUGCUGUGUAUGGUUGUGCAUUUUGUGCUCUGAAAGGCUCCCAUCCCUGCUAAAGGCCUGCUUCUAGAUUUAAAGAGGACUCUGUCUUUGAGGUCUAUGAGAUUUUUAGAUGGAAUCAUUCAUCACAUCCCAUUUGGGCUUUAGAUACUUUGAAGUGAGUAUCUCAAAUUUUCAAAUCAAAGAACCCUGAUUAAAACAAAAGGUCUUCUCACCUCAAAUCCUUUAUGAAAUGAGGUCAACUUAAAAUACUUUUUAGUUAGCUAUGAUAUAAAAUUAAACUAUAUUUUUGUUAUAGUUAAUGAAUUAAUAUUGUAUCUUCUGUUCCUUAGUCGAAAAGUGAGCAGUUAAAUGGUCUAUUUCUCUAACAAAACAAUUAACUGAUUCCUCAGGAUUUACCGCCCACUGUGACCCUCUUGCCCUGUGCCCACACAUACCUACUAAAGACCAGUUUUCAGAUCCCCAGGAAUAACAUAAAAUGGGGCAUAUCUGUCUCGUAAAUAUGAUUGAAUAAGCAUAUGUAGAGCACAGUUGUUUCACUUUUAAGAAUCAAUUAUAAUCAUUUGUACAAUAAAAUGAAUUAUGUCUUUCACACAAUAUGACAGAGCAGUAAUUGAUUUUUUUUUUUAAUUC